AACGAACGCUGGCGGCAUGCCUAACACAUGCAAGUCGAACGAGACCUUCGGGUCUAGUGGCGCAUGGGUGCGUAACGCGUGGGAACCUGCCCUUAGGUUCGGAAUAACUCCCCGAAAGGGGUGCUAAUACCGGAUAAUGUCUUCGGACCAAAGAUUUAUCGCCUUUGGAUGGGCCCGCGUUGGAUUAGCUAGUUGGUAGGGUAAAAGCCUACCAAGGCGACGAUCCAUAGCUGGUCUGAGAGGAUGAUCAGCCACACUGGGACUGAGACACGGCCCAGACUCCUACGGGAGGCAGCAGUGGGGAAUAUUGGACAAUGGGCGAAAGCCUGAUCCAGCAAUGCCGCGUGAGUGAUGAAGGCCUUAGGGUUGUAAAGCUCUUUUACCCGGGACGAUAAUGACAGUACCGGGAGAAUAAGCUCCGGCUAACUCCGUG
rnacentral:rRNA from 1 species